AGAUCAGGAAGGAUCAGAAAGCCACCAGGAGCCAAGGCACUGUCUUCCCAGAGUGAUUUUCUCCCUGUCCUCAAGGGCAGCUCAGAAAAGGGCCAUCCAAGCCCUGUGUUUCCUCUGGUUCCAGAGCCACACCUACAGAGAAGCUGAGCCUCAAUUCCAAAUUCUUCAUUGGUUUAGUCCAGCUAGAUACAUCUGAAUUUAAAUUGACUGAGACACCAGGCACCAGGCCGGGGACUAAGAGAGUUGAAGCCCCACUGUGGAGCCUCAUUCCUGCUUCCUCUCAUCUGCAGUGCUGUCUGCUGUAGGGUCAUCGCUGACAUUAAACACCUCAGUGCUACACAGCUUACUAAAGAGCUUACCAUCCAGUAAAAACCCAGCAGCUCUUACUCUUAUUAUCACCAAAAUAAAAUUUGGGCCUCCCACUGGGUUAUUGCCCUGGAAAAAGAAGGAAGAUGUGGUGAGCUGAACGGUGGUCCUGGAAGGCUGUGGUCAUCCACACAGCCAUGAAUGUGACCUUUCUCGGACUUAGGGUCUCCGGCUCUGACCUGGAGGUGUGACUGACUAUUGGUGAAUGCUGCUGCCAGGCGCUGUCCAACAGAAAGGCAGGCAUCUUCCAUACAAGAAGCCCUGCGACCUCAGCAACAGUGUGGGACAAGCUUUGACUCGUUCAGUGCUGUUGUGAUCGAGAAAAGGUGUGUUUUGACGUAUGCCGUACAUCGUGAACAAGGCAUGUUCAGUAUGAAAAUGACAUGACAAUAUGAAACCUUGUCUCAAGCUACCAAAAAGUGCUAAAGAGUCACACAAAACACUGAAAUUAGUUUAUGGUGAUCCUGCCAUGACCAUGAAGAUGGUUUGCUAGUGGUUUAUAGUGGUUGUGAACGUGUUAAACCAAGAGAGACAGUGAUAUCCUUCAACAUCCAAGCCCCAAGAGCAUGUUAACAGAGAAAACAAAAGGAUUCAAUCAGAUGGGCGAUCAACUAGGAGGGUAAUCUCUGAGGCACUGAGUAUCUUGUGGUUCCAUUCAAAGCAUCUUAACAGAUUUCAACAUGAGGCAAAGGAGUAUGAAAUUUAUUCCACUCAAUUUGACUGUCAACCACAGCACAGUGUCAAGUUCAUUGAGUUGCAGUUGGUGCCACAACAGAGCCCAGCCCUGUGGGAAAUGUCAGUCUGGGAGAUGGACUUUGGUUUCCAUGAUUAUGAUCAUGAGAUACUGUUCAGGGUUCUCCAUAGAAAUCACCUCCUCGUUAUGCAAAAAUGUGCAUGGUUCAGUGUUCAACAUUAGAGUAAUACAGA